GACGAACGCUGGCGGCGUGCUUAACACAUGCAAGUCGAACGGAAAGGCCUCUUUCGGGGGGUACUCGAGUGGCGAACGGGUGAGUAGCACGUGAGUAACCUGCCCUUGACUUUGGGAUAACUUCAGGAAACUGGGGCUAAUACCGGAUAGGAGCUCCUGCUGCAUGGUGGGGGUUGGAAAGUUUCGGCGGUUGGGGAUGGACUCGCGGCUUAUCAGCUUGUUGGUGGGGUAGUGGCUUACCAAGGCUUUGACGGGUAGCCGGCCUGAGAGGGUGACCGGCCACAUUGGGACUGAGAUACGGCCCAGACUCCUACGGGAGGCAGCAGUGGGGAAUAUUGCACAAUGGGUGGAAGCCUGAUGCAGCAACGCCGUGUGCGGGAUGACGGUCUUCGGGUUGUAAACCGCUUUCGCUCAUGACGAAGCUUUGUGUGACGGUAGUGGGUAAAGAAGCACCGGCUAACUACGUG
rnacentral:rRNA from 1 species